rnacentral:rRNA from 1 species
AUACAGAGGGUGCGAGCGUUAAUCGGAAUUACUGGGCGUAAAGGGCGCGUAGGUUGUAAGUUUAGUCAGAUGUGAAAUUUCCGGGCUUAACCUGGAAAGUUCAUCUGAUACUGGCUAACUAGAGUACAGUAGAGGGAAGAGGAAUUUCCGGUGUAGCGGUGAAAUGCGUAGAUAUCGGAAGGAACAUCAGUGGCGAAGGCGUCUUCCUGGACUGAUACUGACACUGAGGCGCGAAAGCGUGGGGAGCGAACAGGAUUAGAAACCCCGGUAGUCC